GACUGUACCUAUCUUCUGGUGAACAACGAUUACCUCAAAGAGAGGACCCGAGUGAUUCACGCAGGCGAUAUGUGCAUUGUCCGCUGAUAAAUCUUGGGGUGACAACAAGAAUGCAGGGAUACGGUGAGACAGAGAAAAAUCCAGCAGAUCCAUGGAAGGAAUAUCAAAGUAUGUCAUCUACAGCGGACCGUGGUAGUAUGACGAAUGACUAGCCGGCAGACCCUAGGAUGAGCUGUACUAAUUAUGAUAUCAGAUCAUCAGAUGAUCACGUUCGAAUCAUAUUCCACCGUGAGAUAAUUGAGCUUUUGAAAAUGAUGUUUUUAAAAUUGUAUCAUUAACUCAAAACGCUCUAUAUUCAGUUUCAUGUAAUAAUUUGGGAACAUUGCAGUGAAGUUAAAACAGUUAACCUGCAAAAUAUCAUUUGUAACUUUAUAUUUUCAAAAUUAGCUACUCAUGGUGUAAUUUUGAAUGAUAUAUUACAAGCAAUCUUUUUGAAGUUGUAUCAUUUCCUUUCCAAUUUGUUUUAACUCAUAGUUAUGAAAUUCUUAUUGUAAAUCAUAAUUGUCCUUUUAUUAAAAAUGAGAAGAUUAUGUACAAAUGGUCUCCUCUUUCACAUAAGUAGCAUUCCCUCAUAUUUCAAAUUUACAUAACUUCUUUUUUAAUUUUGUGCACGUCAUAGUGACUGUGGGGGAAACUUUAAAACUGAAAAAAUAAUUAAAAUGGAGAAAUGUUCAAUAAUUCAAGCUGUAUUUAAAGCAUCCUUCAGAUAUCUGAUUAAUCAAACGGUUAACCUUUUGUUUUGUUUACGUAAUCCAAAUCUACAUUUUAUGGAUAGAAUAUUAUCUAACCUAAUUAAAGCAGCAUUGUAUGAUUGAUUGUGUAUAGGUGUCCUAGUGGAAUAAUUGCAUACAUACAUCAGCAGUAGAUGAAUUAACACAACUCCCUCCCAAUGCUAUGUACUUAGGCUAACACUAGGCCGGGAAACUAGAACAUGGGCAUGGAAUCAUGGUCCCAUCUGCCGUAACCCCCGACCGAUUUGUACCAACCGUCAUAUCCUCCAAUUGUAAAGUUGUAAUUGGUGUAUAUGAACAUAUGUUAUACUGUUCUAUACAAAACUUCUUUUAGAACCAUUUUAACAAGAGCUUGGACUUUGUGUAGUUGUGUCAAACAGCAAUGUGACGUAGGUCUGUCUAUUUCAUUAUCCAAUCAGCGAUGGCUCUUUGAAAUCAACAAGAUGUUUCUGGCUUUUGAGCUAGACUACGCAAUCUGUGCACAUUUCGCUUGAAACCAGCGUCAUUUUAACCUUGUUUUGACGCAAGAAAUAGAUAGUUACGUCCUACCGAAAGUCCAAGGUCUUGUUAAAAUGGUUCUAAAUCCACGAAUCUUGAAUUUUUGUAUUACAUCUUAUGUGAUUUGUACAUCUUUAUUCUAUGAGACAAUUUUAGACCAUUGUAAAAAUUAAUGGUAUUUCUCAAUCUGUAUUUUUGAAAAUUGUGAAAUAUAUCAUUUUUAUAAUAAAUUGCUUAAAUGUAUGUCC
rnacentral:sRNA from 1 species